GAGUUUGAUCAUGGCUCAGGAUGAACGCUAGCGACAGGCUUAACACAUGCAAGUCGAGGGGCAGCGGGGAGUAAGCUUGCUUAUUCCUGCCGGCGACCGGCGCACGGGUGAGUAACACGUAUGCAACCUGCCCUUGGCAGGGGGAGUAACCCGGAGAAAUCCGGACUAAUACCGCGUAACACCCUUGGGGACGAUCCCCGGGGGUCGAAAGGAAGCAAUUCCGGCCAAGGAUGGGCAUGCGUCGCAUUAGGCAGUUGGCGGUGUAACGGACCACCAAACCGACGAUGCGUAGGGUUCGUGAGAGGAAGGCCCCCCACCACUGGUACUGAGACACGGACC
rnacentral:rRNA from 1 species